rnacentral:rRNA from 1 species
CCUACGGGCGGCAGCAGUGGGGAAUAUUGCGCAAUGGGCGAAAGCCUGACGCAGCGACGCCGCGUGAGGGAUGAAGGUCUUCGGAUCGUAAACCUCUGUCAGCAGGGAAGAACGGUCACUGUGCUAAUCAGCAGUGAAUUGACGGUACCUGCAAAGGAAGCACCGGCUAACUCCGUGCCAGCAGCCGCGGUAAUACGGAGGGUGCGAGCGUUAAUCGGAAUUACUGGGCGUAAAGCGCUCGUAGGCGGUAUGUCAAGUCAAGGGGGAAAUCCCCGCGCGCAACGUGGGAACUGCCUUUGAAACUGGCAAACUGGAGUGUGUGAGAGGAUAGUGGAAUUCCAGGUGUAGGAGUGAAAUCCGUAGAUAUCUGGAGGAACAUCAGUGGCGAAGGCGACUAUCUGGCACAUAACUGACGCUGAGGAGCGAAAGCGUGGGUAGCAAACAGGAUUAGAUACCCCGGUAGUC